UUGUCCAAGACGCGACGCCAGUCUAAGCUGCGGACGUUGAUGCGUAGCGAUCAUUACGUAGUGAACGUUGUAUUUCAAGAACCGGAAAAUGCAGAGUGAAACAAGGAAACGGAGAAGUGGAGAUUUGCUACCUUUUAAAAAGACGACAACAAUAAUAGCCCAGCGGUACGUGCAAGUUAUAAGAUUGCGCUUAAUAUAGCGAGAGCUGGAAAACCAUUUCCUGAAUUACAGGUUGUAGGGUGUUUUUUAAAUAUAUAUGCAGAGUGAUCUCUCACUGCAUUUAUGUCUUGACAAUGACGACGACUGAUGAAGACAUCGACUGCGAUGACAGCACUGAUGGUGAAGGUACUGAAGCAACUGUGGUGUUCUAGAAAUUGUAAUAAGGAUAUUGUCGGCAAUUGUGUAAAUAGCAACUGGCGUGCCACCUCUGUCCCUGAGACACUUCUCACCCUCACCACCUAAAUGUCCUAACCAUAGGAGCAUUAACAUAUGAAAGGCAAGGUGAAGUCGUUGCAGAUGAAGGCAUGUGGCAUGAGCAUAAUGCUGUUCAACCACAUCUACUGUUUAAACACCAAUGGGUGUAAGUGUGUCAGUGUCGAUAUUGAUAUCGAUAAGUAGUAUUCGAAAACCGUGGAUUUAGCAACAUCAAAUUAAUGUUACUCAUGGAUGAAUGGCGUCAACUAUGCAACGUAUCGAUGAUUUUAGCCUUGUUCCGAAGAAAGGUUUAAUCACCCUUGAUGAUACUGGGUGAACAUAUAAUCUCUGUAGGGGACUUCCCUGGCACAGUUAAAAUAUUUAACAUCAGAGAGUGCAUACAUCUGCAGACUUUUAAGGGUUUAAUGAAUGCCAGUUUUGCAACAUAGCAUGAGCUAGAAUGCCGACAAAGGUGGUAGUCAUACGUCUACCUAUUCUAUGAGACACUGUGGAGUAAUCUACAGAAGUUAGCUCACCAAACUCUCCGCCCAUCUAAAGAAACUGUAGCUAACUAUAUGAUGAAUAUUGUGCAUUGAUGGAGUUGGACAUGUAUGAUCCAACAUUCUGCUCCUUUAGUACCCCUCAAUCUACUCUGAGAUUGUCUUUCCAUCUUUCCAUUGAGUGACCAAUAUCUCUUUUACCAGCUGGUAAUUUAUAUCUUACAUUUUUCGCAAUCUUCUGUUCAACUAUCCGGUCUAUGUAUUCGUUCCAUUCAUGCUUUCUCUUAUGCGUCCACUCAUUAAUGCAGUCCAAUUUACAUCCUUUUCUAAUGUUUUCACUUCUCUCUCUAUCUUGCAGUGUCUUCCUUGUAAUCCUUUGCAGAAUUUUCCUUUCUGCUGUUUCCAAAAGUCUUUUGGUUUUUGAUGUUGUCUUGUCUCAGCUGUGUACGUCACAUAAUUGGUCUCACUAUUGUGUGGCAUGUUUACCACAUCUGUUAACUGAUUCGUAUCAAAAGCCUUCUGUAAUCAAUAAAACAAAUAUAAGCUGGUCUGUUAUAUUCAAUAGACUUGUCUACAAUCUGUUUAAGAAAGAAUACUGCAUCUGUGCAUGACCUACCAGAUCUAAAACCACAUCGCUCCUCUGCGAGGAUUAUAAUGCAUUCUAUUUUAUUUCUUAUUAUUUUUGUUAUGAGUUUAAGAACUGAACUCAGUAGAUUUAUCCCUCUGUAGUUGGAAGAGUCUAUCCAUUAUCCUUUUUUGUUUGUGAGAAUUGUAAUAUUAGUUCUCCAUUUGUUUGGAAUUUUAAUACCAGUGAUAACAUUGUUAACCAGUUUGGUUAAUUGUUCAGUUAGUGGAUAUCCUCCAUACUUCAGUAAUUCACUGAGGAUCGUACCUUUCCCUUGAGACUUCCUAUUUUUUAACAGGCUCGCAGCUUCUUUUACCUCUGCAUAUGAAACAGAUACAUAAUCAUUUAUUUGUAUACAGAUCUCUAAUCUCUCUCUUUGGUUUCAGGUGAUUAUUUCCCCUAUAUAACUCUGUUAAAUAUUUAACCCAUGUUUCCUCAUUCAUGUCGUUUACUUUGAAAAUUUCAUCUAAUUCUUUCUGCUACUGUGGUAUAUUCUCCAAAUUUGUUUUUGCAACACAUAGGAGUCAUGUUCUAAAUUCCUGGAAAAGAUAUCCUAGUGUUCCUCUUUAAAACAAUUCACUGGUGGUUUUGUGUAAUUACAAGUUCUUUUGUAAUCUUAGUACGACUCUUUUGUUUUGAGUGUUUUAUAUUUCAAAUAGGCACAACUUUUUUUAUACAUGUCUUUAACCUCUUCACAAAGCUAUGUUAUUCUGUUUGUUUUUCUGUCUUAUCUUAUAACACAUGUACCUAGUGCUUCUUGAACUGCUGCUUCAAUACUUUGAUUUUCUCCCAAGCUUGAUCUAUGUUAUCCUCUGCAUGAAUGGGUUCCUCUUUUAUUUUCUCUGCUAAUCAUUUCUGAUAUAAAUUUUUUGUAGAUUUAUUCCAUAAUAACUUUGUAUUAAAUUUUUCUUCUUUUAAUGUUGGUUCUUUAGCCGUCUUAUUCCUUCCUUCGUGCAAUUUGAUAUUUGUCAUGAGUAGGCUGUGAUCACUUCCAAUGUUGGCAGAGUUUAAAGUCCUAACAUUUAGUACUGACUAGUGAUGGAUGUUCU